GGCCAGUGAUUGCUCUGGGAAACAAGAUACAAUACAGAAGUGAGUGUGGGCCACUCGAUCUUAAUGUAGGUGAUCAAAGGGCUAGCAAUGUUAUGUGUACCCAAAGUCAAAUGCUUUCUGACUAAUGAUUUGGACUGCAAACUCUCGACAAGUGAUGAUUACUUCAAUGAACAAGAGGAGGAACUUAGGCAUAGGGUACAACUUGAAGCAGAGGAAAGAAAGCUGGAAGAGAUUCUGGAACAUCAAUGGCGGAUAGGAGAGGUAGCAAAGCAAAAGCAUCUUGCAGAACAAUUUAGAAGUACAUAUGCAUCUUCUGUUAUUGGUACAGCUUGUCUUUGAAGCAAUGGGAAUUUAAACAGGGGCCAGGAUGACCAUGAAAGUGUGCCCAAUGACUCUUCGCAUACUUAUCUCAAAGGAAUAAAGUUUGGUGACUUUUGCUACACUGAGAACAAUUUCAGCCAGAAACUUAAUGGAUUGGACUUAUCUGAUGCACAUGCAUUAACCAGCUGUGAUGAGUGUUUCUAAGUUGACACUGAAAAUGGAUGAGGUUUGGAAAAAUGCACAACAUAGCAAACCACAAAAGAAGUUGACACUGUACAAGUCAAGAGCUUUCACUAUCAGUUCUGUUCGCAGUCGACACGCUGAGAUGACCCUUAGUGCAGUGGAGGCCUGUAGGUACAAGUCAAGAGCUUUCGCUAUCAAUUCUGUUCGCAAUUCACACAACGAGACGGCCCUUAGUGCAGAGGAGGCCUGUAGGUGAUGCUUUUCAGAAUGCCUAGGUAUGGACUGUUAAAUGUUGACCUUGGCGCAGAGCAAAUAAGAUAAACUGGACUGGAAAAGUAAAUUGUUACCCAAUGUGCAUAGGUACAGAUGAAAGCAUACCUUGGGCGUCAUUUCAACCAGCAGCAGCGACGUGUUCAGCAGCAGCCAGCAGCAGAGGCGAAGCAGAGGAUAUGGUGGCUGGGCCAUAUGUUGGCAACCAAUGAAUUGAACUAGGCACACUGCUGCAUCGAAGCCCUUUCUCUUCACUGGUUUCUUGGAUAUUGGAAGAAAGGGUGCCCCAGGGGAAAUCUAACCUGGCUUUGUUUAUUUCUCAUAUUUUGUUUAUUGGAAGCUUUUGGAGAGAAUAUGAAGUGAAGUUAGUGUGGAGUUUUCUAGUUGCCUGCUUCCGUUUCAGCCACGUAUAAUGACCGACGUUGUAUGGAAAUUAUUUGGUGCUAGAUUUCGAUGUCGUGUUUUUGAUGAGUUGAACUUGAUUAGGGUCCCUUUUCUUCAAAAAGAACUAGGAGUUAUUCGCCUUUUAGGCUUUUACCAUAUAUGUAUAAAUUUGAAAAUACCAUUACUGUGAGGUACAAGCUGGGUAUAUGUAAGUACUGUCUUAUCAGUUCUUGGACUUCGGUUUUUAUCGUUA